AUGAACGCUAGCUACAGGCUUAACACAUGCAAGUCGAGGGGCAGCAUGGUCUUAGCUUGCUAAGGCCGAUGGCGACCGGCGCACGGGUGAGUAACACGUAUCCAACCUGCCGUCUACUCUUGGACAGCCUUCUGAAAGGAAGAUUAAUACAAGAUGGCAUCAUGAGUCCGCAUGUUCACAUGAUUAAAGGUAUUCCGGUAGACGAUGGGGAUGCGUUCCAUUAGAUAGUAGGCGGGGUAACGGCCCACCUAGUCUUCGAUGGAUAGGGGUUCUGAGAGGAAGGUCCCCCACAUUGGAACUGAGACACGGUCCAAACUCCUACGGGAGGCAGCAGUGAGGAAUAUUGGUCAAUGGGCGAGAGCCUGAACCAGCCAAGUAGCGUGAAGGAUGACUGCCCUAUGGGUUGUAAACUUCUUUUAUAAAGGAAUAAAGUCGGGUAUGGAUACCCGUUUGCAUGUACUUUAUGAAUAAGGAUCGGCUAACUCCGUGCCAGCAGCCGCGGUAAUACGGAGGAUCCGAGCGUUAUCCGGAUUUAUUGGGUUUAAAGGGAGCGUAGAUGGAUGUUUAAGUCAGUUGUGAAAGUUUGCGGCUCAACCGUAAAAUUGCAGUUGAUACUGGAUAUCUUGAGUGCAGUUGAGGCAGGCGGAAUUCGUGGUGUAGCGGUGAAAUGCUUAGAUAUCACGAAGAACUCCGAUUGCGAAGGCAGCCUGCUAAGCUGCAACUGACAUUGAGGCUCGAAAGUGUGGGUAUCAAACAGGAUUAGAUACCCUGGUAGUCCACACGGUAAACGAUGAAUACUCGCUGUUUGCGAUAUACGGCAAGCGGCCAAGCGAAAGCGUUAAGUAUUCCACCUGGGGAGUACGCCGGCAACGGUGAAACUCAAAGGAAUUGACGGGGGCCCGCACAAGCGGAGGAACAUGUGGUUUAAUUCGAUGAUACGCGAGGAACCUUACCCGGGCUUAAAUUGCAGAUGAAUUACGGUGAAAGCCGUAAGCCGCAAGGCAUCUGUGAAGGUGCUGCAUGGUUGUCGUCAGCUCGUGUCGUGAGAUGUUGGGUUAAGUCCCGCAACGAGCGCAACCCUUAUCCUUUGUUGCCAGCGGUCCGGCCGGGAACUCAAAGGAGACUGCCAGUGAUAAACUGGAGGAAGGUGGGGAUGACGUCAAAUCAUCAUGCCCCUUAUGACCUGGGCUACACACGUACUACAAUGGUCGGAAACAGAGGGAAGCGAAGCCGCGAGGCAGAGCAAACCCCAGAAACCCGAUCUCAGUUCGGAUCGCAGGCUGCAACCCGCCUGCGUGAAGUAGGAAUCGCUAGUAAUCGCGGGUCAGCAUACCGCGGUGAAUACGUUCCCGGGCCUUGUACACACCGCCCGUCACACCAUGGGAGUUGGUAACGCCCGAAGUCAGUGACCCAACCUUUCAGGAGGGAGCUGCCGAAGGCGGGACUGAUAACUGGGGUG
rnacentral:rRNA from 1 species